AAACAAUUAUCAUUUUGGAAACGCGCCCUAGGUCUAACUCAUAUUUUUAUUAGAAAAAUAUAGGGUAAAAGAUAAAAUAAUCCCUGAAAAAUAAUUAAAAUGGCCUUAUUACACCCCAAAACCAAAUAAUAAUAUUAAUAAGAUAAAAUUUAUAAAGAAAUAAGUCGGCUACUUAUUGCAAUUAAAAGAAACAGAAACAGUAGUGUGGCCAUCUCCAAGUCCCUCGCAGCUCCAAACCAUCUAAGCUUAGGGAUUACCUGCAUAGUUAGAAACGGGGUGAGUUUACGAAAACUCAGUGUGUAAUCCCAAUAACAAACAAAUAGUAAAUAACACGGUAUCAGUACAAUCUGGGCCAAAGCCCUAUUUAGUCUUGACAUAUACUGGGCCGAAGCUUUUCCAUAAAUCAUAUCACUGGGCCGAAGCCUUUUCAUAAAUCAUAUCACUGGGCUGAAGCCUUUACUGUAAACAGUAUGGCCCUUAGGCCCAUUUCAAUAUCACAUGUAAUGUCAAUCGAUGUAUGCAAGCCCAUUUCAAUAUCACAUGUAAUGUCAAUGAAUGUAUGCAAGCCCAUUUGGGGAGACUACUCGACCCACCAUCCGCUACUCUCCACCCGUACCAACCAAGCUCUCCAUGUGGGGAAUAACUCAACCCACCCAACCAAACUCUCCACUGGCAGCAUAGCUGCUUUAUCAUAUAACCGGAGGCCUAGCCUCUUUUAAUAACUGGGGCAAAGCUCUUUUUGAUAAACUGGGGCAAAGCCCUUUUCGGUAAACUGGGGCAUAGCCCUUUUAGCACUUCCUCCAUUUAUAAAACCCAACCCAUGCAACAUGUCAUGUAUGUAGAAUGUCAUGCCCAUAUUUGAAUCAAACAAUCACAGUCAAGUCAUUCAUAUCACCAACAUAUAUUCACAAUCAAAUCCGUCAACCACACAGUCCAAGUCAGUCACUUGCCCAUAAGGGCAAAAUAGUCAUUUAACACCCUAAGGGCAAAAUGGUAAUUUUACCCCACAAGGGUAUCUCGGUAAUUCUACCCUACAGGGGUAUUUUGGUAUUUUUACCUUACAAGGGUAUUUCGGUAAUUCUACCCUACAGGGGUAUUUCAGUAAUUCUACCCUACAGGGGUAUUUCAGUAAUUCUACCCUACAGGGUUAUUUUAGUAAUUCUACCCUACAGGGGUAUUUGGUAAUUCGACCUUACAGGGGUAUUUCGGUAAUUCUAUCAUACAGGGGUAUUUCGAUAUUUUACAAAUCGAGAGUAUUUCGAUAAUUUCAUAAAUCAGGGGUAUUUUGGUAAUUUUACAAGCCAGGGGUAUUUUGGUAAUUUUACAAACUAGGGGUAUUUUAGUAAUUUUACAAACCAGGGGUAUUUUGGUAAUUUUACUAAUCCAGGAUAUUUUGGUAAUUUUGUAAACUAAGGGUAUUUUAGUAAUUCUGUAAAUCGAGGGUAAAACGGUAGUUCUGUAAAUCGAGGGUAAAACAGUAAUUUUGUAAAUUGAGAGUAACACGGUAAUUCUAUAAAUCGAGGGUAAAAUGGUAAUUCUAUAAAUCAAGGGUAAAACGGUAAUUCUAUAAAUUGAGAGUAAAAUGGUAAUUUUAUAAAUCGAGGGUAAAACGGUAAUUCUAUAAAUCGAGGGUAAAAUGGUACUUCUAUAAAUCAAGGGUAAAAUGGUAAUUCUAUAAAUCGAUGGUAAAAUGGUAAUUCUGUAAAUCGAGGGUAAAAUGGUAAUUCUAUAAAUCAAAGGUAAAAUGGUAAUUCUAUAAAUCGAUGGUAAAACGGUAAUUCUGUAAAUCAAUGGUAAAACGGUAAUUUUACAAAUUGAGGGCAUUUCAGUAAUUGGUAAACUAAAGUAUUCUAAACAGGGAUAACAAUACAAAUGGCCCUAAAGUGCAUUCUCGGCCCAAAUGGGCCCACACACUCGUGUGGUCCUUUUAGCCCAAAUCUAGCCACAAAUAUGAGAUUCACCUAGCCUAGUCCAAUAUUUACUACACAAUCAAACAACUUAUCCAAUUGGGCCUGUAGGCCCAUUGGGCCCACAUAGCCCCUUUUGGCCCAUCGUGGUCCGAAGUAGCCAUCCUAUAGCUAGAGUAGUGAGAAAUACACACCUGAUUGGAGACUGGAGUUAAUCCAUGCUCUGAGCACUCUUAGUCGACGCCCAACCCAAACGAGCACGCCAUCAAGCGAAAGGGAUCAGCCAAGAAAGGUACCUCUACU
rnacentral:lncRNA from 1 species